rnacentral:rRNA from 1 species
AUGAGCAGCCUACUCCGCCGCCACCCCUCGCCGGCGGCGGUGCCACCGCUGGAGGACGACAACUUCCUCUCCGAGAUCCUCCUCAGCCUUCACCCACAGCCGUCCUCCCUCCCCCGCGCCUCCCUCGUCUGCAAGCGCUGGCGCGGCCUCGUCUCCCAUGCAGGCUUCUGCCGCCGCUUCCGCCGCAACCCUCCCCUCCUCUGUUUCUUCCAAGUAGACAACGGGCUCUCCUUCGUACCUUCCCUCAAGGCCCCGGAUCGUGUCUCGCCCGAGCGCUUCUCCUUGCAACUCAAAGAUCGUGGCGACAGCUUCGUCCCCCUUGGAUGCCGCCAUGGCCUCGUGCUCAUCUUCCUCUGGAAGCGUCUACAGCUCCUUGUGUGGGACCCCGUCCCCGGCGGCCAGCACCGCAUUGGCGNNNNNNNNNNNNNNNNNNNNNNNNNNNNNNNNNNNNNCGGGGCAGUGCUUCGCGCUGCCGGAGACGCCCACCACUUCCAUGUGGCCUUGGUAGGCAACAGUGCGAGACAAAUUACUCAAGCAGUCGCCUGCGUUUACUCGUCGGAAACCGGUAUAUGGGGCAAUCUUAUCACAACACUGCUUCAAUCUGAGGAUCGUGCCCAUUUUAGCAUGAUUUCUAUGACCCAGCCUGCUGUGCUGGUUGGGGGUCUCUUUACUGGUUGCUUGGUGGGGGUCCGGAUGGGAAUCCUUGAAUUUGAUAUGGAUAGGCAAAGACUAUCUGUGAUACCUAUGCCAGUAAAUGACCUCAGGUUUCUCCAAUUGUCGCUGAUACGGGCAGAUGGCGGUGGAAUUGGUCUCCUCAUUUUAUCAGGCUUCGGUGCCCAAUUUUGGAAGACAAGGACCAAUUGUUGA